CCUACGGGGGGCUGCAGUGGGGAAUAUUGGACAAUGGGCGAAAGCCUGAUCCCGCCAUGCCGCGUGUGUGAAGAAGGCCUUCGGGUUGUAAAGCACUUUCAGUGGGGAAGAAAGCCUUGGGGCUAAUACCCUCGAGGAAGGACAUCACCCACAGAAGAAGCACCGGCUAACUCCGUGCCAGCAGCCGCGGUAAUACGGAGGGUGCGAGCGUUAAUCGGAAUUACUGGGCGUAAAGCGCGCGUAGGCGGUCUGAUAAGCCGGUUGUGAAAGCCCCGGGCUCAACCUGGGAACGGCAUCCGGAACUGUCAGGCUAGAGUGCAGGAGAGGAAGGUAGAAUUCCCGGUGUAGCGGUGAAAUGCGUAGAGAUCGGGAGGAAUACCAGUGGCGAAGGCGGCCUUCUGGACUGACACUGACGCUGAGGUGCGAAAGCGUGGGUAGCAAACAGGAUUAGAUACCCCGGUAGUC
rnacentral:rRNA from 1 species